rnacentral:rRNA from 1 species
GGUACUUGUACCGACUGGAUGAGCAGCGAACGGGUGAGUAACGCGUGGGGAAUCUGCCUUUGAGCGGGGGACAACAUUUGGAAACGAAUGCUAAUACCGCAUAAAAACUUUAAACACAAGUUUUAAGUUUGAAAGAUGCAAUUGCAUCACUCAAAGAUGAUCCCGCGUUGUAUUAGCUAGUUGGUGAGGUAAAGGCUCACCAAGGCGAUGAUACAUAGCCGACCUGAGAGGGUGAUCGGCC